rnacentral:rRNA from 1 species
UAAGUCUCCUGAAGGAACGUUGAAGACGACGACGUUGAUAGGUCGGGUGUGUAAGUGUAGCGAUACAUUGAGCUAACCGAUACUAAUGAACCGUGAGGCUUAACCUUACAACGCCGAAGGUGUUU